GGAGUCUCUUCGGAGACCUGCCGCUGGUGGAUGAGCCUGCGUCCGAUUAGCUUGUUGGUAGGGUAAUGGCCUACCAAGGCGACGAUCGGUAGCUGGUCUGAGAGGAUGAUCAGCCACACUGGGACUGAGACACGGCCCAGACUCCUACGGGAGGCAGCAGUGGGGAAUAUUGGACAAUGGGCGCAAGCCUGAUCCAGCCAUGCCGCGUGGGUGAAGAAGGCUUUCGGGUUGUAAAGCCCUUUCAGUGGGGAAGAAAAGCUUGGUGUUAACAGCACCGAGUCUUGACGGUACCUACAGAAGAAGCACCGGCUAAUUCCGUG
rnacentral:rRNA from 1 species